GUGCAGCAGUCGCGAAUUUUUGACAAUGGGGGAAACCCUGAUCGAGCGACGCCGCGUGGAGGAUGAAGGUCUUCGGAUUGUAAACUCCUGUCAUUGGGGAACAAGGUGCAUACGUUAACUGCGUGUGUAUUGAUAGUACCCGAAGAGGAAGGGACGGCUAACUCUGUGCCAGCAGCCGCGGUAAUACAGAGGUCCCAAGCGUUGUUCGGAUUCAUUGGGCGUAAAGGGUGCGUAGGCGGCGCGGUAAGUCGGGUGUGAAAUCUCGGAGCUUAAACUCCGAAAACUGCAUUCGAUACUGCCGUGC
rnacentral:rRNA from 1 species